rnacentral:lncRNA from 1 species
GUACAAAUUUAAACCAUUAAUAUUAGUCACUAUUUCAACUAAUAUUGAGAAUAACAAUAUUUGAUGAUUAAUAAGGAUAUUUGGUACUAUGAAUAAUUAUAAUUAUUUGAAAACUAUCCAAUAGUUAAAUCGAAAAUAAGAAAAAAAAUAUACUUAGUUUACGCUAAUAUAAAUAUUAUUCUCACUAAUAUAGACAUUAAAUGUUUCAAAGUAAUUUUUUCAGCCAUAAGAAAAAGCAAAUUUUUCAUGCUGAGGAGGGUGUCUUUGAAAUUUUCCUAAUUUAAAUUGAUAAUUUCGAUAUUUAGAUAAAAUUGGUUGUAGCUAUGUGAUAAUUGCUACUGAUAUUUGCUAGUUCCCACUUCCAAUUCUUUCGUUCGGUAGCAGGUUUCAUGCGUAAAAAAUAAAAGCCGUUGGAUUGCUUUUAUAAGCAAUCCAACGGGGAAUAGGUUUCAAAAUAAAAAAUAAAAACGGCUAUAUGUCAUGCAGUGGCUGUAUUAUAAGCGGACCCAAGAUGUAAAGGAUAAUGCUCAGAAUGGCAAGAGGUUGAUGCACGUGAUGGGCUGUCUUCUGUCGUCAUCUCCUUUUUUUAUAUACUUUUAAGAAUAAAAAAUUAUUAAAAUGGCGAGAGAGGGAGAAGUCAAAACGGCAGCUUCUCUCAGCAUUCUCUCGCCAUUCUUUUUUUUUUUUUUUGUCUUAUCCACGAGGUAUUUUGGAGAGAGCUCCAACUGUGGGAGGCACCUUUAAGUCCGUACCACAACUCAGAUUAGAAGCCUCCACUUGAACCAGGAGGUACUAGUUCUCUCAACAAAAGCGACUUUCCUGCGACUCGAACUGGGGAGUAAACCUAAUCAAACCACUUAAAGGGACUCUAUUGCCAGUAAAACCAACACUUUGUUGGUUUCUCUCGCCAUUCUUGAUAGUAAGCAUUUUCUCUCAACAUUCUCCAGCCAGAUUCCUAAUUUGUUAAUGCUGUUUGAAAUGCUGACCAAAGACUAUUGGUAGGAUAACAUGCACCCUAUCCAAUCCCACCACAUGCAUGGACACAAAUUAAUAUAAGAAAAAUAUACAAAGGCUGGAAAUUAAAUAGGGGAAAGAGUAUCAAAACCAUGAUUGCAAAUCAGUAGUCCUACAAGCACAUGUACUAACAAAAAUAAGAAAUAGUUUCUAAACUUAAAGCAUAAGACAUAGUCUGCAAAGUAAAUAACGCUAGAGAAAGAGAACAAACGUUCACCAUUGAACACAAUAAUAUUCCUUAAAUAAAAUGCUUGACCAAGUAUGCAGCUAAUUUUCUACAUGUCUAAGAAUGAAAAAACAAUUGAACUAUCGUGUGCAUCACAUAAUAUAUGCAUGGAAUCCAAAUGUUCUAAGCUGGAUUCUUAGUUUUUUUCUCAAAAUUCUUCAUUUGGUUUCUUUCCCAUCAAUCGCUGAGCUGCACUUUUUGUUUGUGUACCAGUGUCAUUCUCGGUUCUUCUUCCAAUAUUUUACCGAAGAAACGAAGUUCAAUUACUAAACAUAAUGGCUCAUUUUAACAAGAUCUAUACAGAUGAUAUAGCACUCCUUGCUUUUACUAGUCAAACAUAAUGCCCUAAAAAAAUCUAGGCAAUAAAAAAUCCAUAAAAAUGCUUAGAGCAGUAGCAAAUGAUGAAAUAAUGACUAGACAUGGAAAAGAAGUAUCAACAAGUUCAUCGAAGAUGUGAUCAUUACCAUUAGUUAGUUCCCAUGAAGAUAAUACUUACAAAAUUUAUCAAUGAGAGAUACUAGCAAGAACGAGAUUUAGCGUAAACAAAUGAUCUCUUAAAAAAAAUCAUUAUACCAUAUAAAUACACAGCAAUAAUACCUUCCAUUUCCUUUUAUGCGUUUCAUGCUUAACUCAAUUAGUUGAUUUAUAUUCAAAGACUAACAAACCUUUUGACAGCUAGAAAUAAUAUAUUGGGUAACACACACACACCUAAUUGACCUCUUACUUUCCCUGCUUGAGGCCAACCAACUAAGCUAUUCACUGGAGGUAUCUUCAAGAAUAAAUCAUCUCCUAAUACAAAAUGUAAAUGUACAGCUAAAUGUGUGACACAUGAAUAAAGCUGCAAUAAUUGUUUACUGCCACCUCUUUUCAAGGCUACCAUGAGUGAAAUAAUAAAUAGAAUUAGGAUAGAAAUAAAAUCUUAAUGAAUACCUGCGAUACCCAAGUAUUAAUAUGCUUAGAAGUUAGAACAUAAUGACUGAUGUCUGAAGGCAUUUCAAAAUGUGAAAGAACGAAAGUUGAAGACUUUGCAAAAAUUCUGUUGUUCAAAUAUCAGAGCUGAUAUAAUUCAACCAUGAAAUUGUGCACGAUAAAGUUUCAUUACAAUAGAACAAACACAAGUAAUCAAAAUGACCAUAAUAGAUAUAAUUGGGUCUGAACGGGUCAAAAUGCAUUAAUAUCCUUGCUUUCACAAUCUUAAGUCUUAAAAGUUCAACACAGCUAAACAUCUCAGGGAACAACAGCAUUCAGCCAUCAACAAAGAAGACAGCUAAUGCAGGUAGUUUGUUCAAUUCAAUCACGCUCCUCUUCUUCUACCAAUUCCUUUCAUUCAAACAACAUAAAUGCAUAAGUAUAAUGCAUUCAUUCAACUAAUCAAUACAUAAUAUAAUACUCAAAAAAAAAUAAAGGCCUAGAAAAUUAGUUAAUAAGGAGAAGUGUUUGUUAAUGGGAUCAAAACAGGAGUGCUCGUUACAGUAUUCUCAUAUUCUAAUUCUCCAAUUCAACAAAUUGGCAUAAAUUCUAAUUCUCCAAUCCAGAAUUUUAAAGUGCAUGAACGUCCGGGAAAACGUAUAAACCAUGCGGUUUAAGCGCUUUAAGUUUUAAGCCUUUAAAACUCCGUGGUUUUAAAGUUUUCCCUGACGUUUCCUGCACUUUAUGAUCCAGGACCAGAAAACUACUAGGGAGAGAGAAAGAGAGAGAGAUGUUCCAAUUCGAAAUUUUAAAGUGUGGGAAAAUUUAGCAAAAUGCAAAACCGUGCAAUUUAUGGGCCUUAUCGGUUAUAUAUAUAUAUGUGUGUGUGUGUGUGUCUAGUUUUGGAUCUUAAAGUGCGGGAAAUGUUCGAAAAAGCUUUAAAACUGCACGGUUAUUUGCUUGAAUAACUUGUGUCAAGGAACAAACAAAACCAGAAAAAUAAAAGAAAACAGAGCACGUAUGAUAGAGGAGAGAAGAAAGAUUUAUUUUAUUUUUAUUUGUAUAUACCCUUAGUCUUACAAUUGAGACAUAUAUAUAUACUAGCUUCAAUCCUUUGACAAUAAGGAAUUAAUCUAAUCUGACUAAAUAUUAAACUAGGAUUCCUAAUACGACUAAGAUUAAGUAAACUUGAACAUCACAUUAAUUAACAAUUCUCAUAUUCUAAUUCUCCAAUUCAACAAAUUGGCAGCCCACACAGCAAACAUUCUUACUAAUAUAUAUAUAAAUGUUCCAAUCCGGAAUUUUAAAGUGCGGGAACGUCCGGAAAAA